CCUCAAUGCCAAGAAAAUAUCUGAGAGCGCCCAAAUCUUUCAUCUGCAAGUGUUGUUGUAAGUAAGAUUUAACCUUAUGUGACACUAG